AGUUUUAUGCCAUCUCCACUGUUUCCUGAUCAACCACCGACCAAUUUUCUGCCUUCACCGAUUUUUCCUGAUCAACCACCAAACAACUUUCUUCCGUCACCGAUAUUCCCUGAUCAACCACCAGUCAAUUUCCUGCCGUCACCUGUAAUUCCUGAUCAACCACCGACCAAUUUCCUGCCGUCACCUGUAAUUCCUGAUCAACCGCCAGAAACAUUUCUCCCGUCACCGUUAGUUCCCGAUCAAGCGCCGCCAGUUGCAGUAAUUCCGCCAUUUGAGCUUCCGCCUCAGCCGGACUCGCCACCAUUCGCCUAAUAGUUAAUGGUUCACGUCUUC
rnacentral:lncRNA from 1 species